GGUUUUAGAUUUUUUUUAUAUCAAGAUUGUGUUAUUUAGGCAGGAAAUUACUUUCAUUUCCUCCCUAUUAUCUAUAAAGAUGUAUGUUUGGUGCAAAGCUCUUGGUAGUUUGAAUUGAAGAUGUAGAUUCCAAUAGCAGAGCCUAUAAUUAUUUUGUAGGCUGGUUAAGCUAAAAUCAAAUACUUAAAUAUUUUUUGUUACCUAUAUAAAGUUAUAUAAUAAUACACUUGAAACUUUCAAAUUAGACAACAUUAACACAAUUUUAUAUGAUAAAUUAUAUUCCUACCAAAUCUAUCAAAAAAAUAUAUUCAAUUCAAAAUUAAAAUUUCAAGCACAGACUCUUAAAUUCAAAAAAUAAACAAAUAAACUAAUUAAGAAUAAAAUGGUAAAAAACUUACUAAUUGGCGAGAGAAAUCAGUGGGACUUUCACACUUGCAGACUGUCUUUGUGGAUUGUGAAUUUGUAGCGUUUUGGAAAAAAUAGCUGUACUGUUCUAGAUGUGCCUUCAGAAAAUUGAAUAGUUAAAAGCCAAACUUAAAAGCUAACAUUUACUCCUAAAAAAAUGUAUAAGUACUUAUUUAAAUGAAUAAAAUAAUAAAACCUAAUAAUUACUUCCUAGGUGUGAGAACUCAUAUUUUUAAUUUAUAUAUAUAUAACCCUAGUGGUAUAGAUAUCUACAGUUUCACGCAUUUGCAUUAGGUUAGUACAUUCUACAUAGCCAUGUGUCAAUUCCAUAAGCGUUCCAUCUGUUUUCUUUGUCCCAUUCUGGAUGGUUGUCAAGUUAAUCUUAUUUCUAUAUUUAUAUUUUACGUUACCAUUGUUGUCAAAUUUAGAGUAGUUGAUAUAGGCAUACAUAUCCUAUCUUGGUGGCUUUCGUAUUAGGAGGACACAAGUGCAACAGAUGUCUUUGGCAAGUUAGAGAUAACACCAUCCAAUCAUUCACUCCAAUCUUAUUUGCAUAGUCAUUACAUUAGAGCUUGAGGUUGCUACGCGUGUACCAUUCAUCCCCUUCAAGUGACACAUAUUCUACUACCCUAACAUGUGUCAAUCUCUCAUACCCUUAUCUAAUGAUAGUAGACACCUCCUGCUAUACUUGCCGACUUUCUACAUCUAUAAAUAGCACCCCACCUUUCACUUUUAUUCAGACAAUUCCUCCAAAUCUUUAUAUCUUGUUCGUUGCAUGUAGUUUUCAUGCACAGUACGUUGGUUUGUAUAAUAUAUAUUUAUAUAUAGUGAGAGAGAUUAGUGUUUGUACCAUACUUAGGAUCUUUGUAUUUAGAUUUCGCAUAAAUACUUGGAAGACUCAAAUGUAAUUAUGUAAUAAAUGAAAGGGUAAAUAUGUAAAAAGGGGAGGAGCCCUUAGUCUAUAAAUGGGCUUCUUCACCCUCACAAUCCAAAAGCUCAAAGAUUGAGGGCAGGGCCUCACUCUCACCCUCAGAAGCUCUGAUCCUCACAUACAGAAGCUUUUUCUCUCUCACAAUCCUCUCAUAAACAGAGAAAUACAAUAUCAGUGUGGACGUAACCCAAACAUUAGGGUGAACCACGAUACAUCUUGUGUUCUUUAUUUUCUUGUAGAUUCACGGUCGGAUUUACGUUGUUCCAAGACCCCUCCGGUUUUGUGCAUCAACAUUUGGCGUCGUCUGUGGGAAACGACACGAAAAGCUAUGUCGAUUCUCUCUCAAUUUUUCAUCUCACCAUCGUGAAACCUUCACAACCUCACCACUGUCCACCGUGAAUCUGCAGAAACCAAGAACCAAAUCGACAAACCCACCCCAAAAAACCAAGAUAUGUCAACUGGGUGUGCUUUAUUGUUCUCAAAUUUUGAAGGAAAAUCAAAUCAUCAUUGUCUUCCCCAAAUCCGAAACCCUUUUAGAACCCUAGAUGGGCCUGCUGAAGGCAGAAAUCGCUAAGAAACGGCAGAGACUCGAAGAAGACACCGGUGGCAAGCGAUUCUUCAAACGCUUCGAGAUCGAGCAGAAGCAAAUCCAGAAGCUUUAGGAGCAAGAGAAAUGCGAAUUAGAAGCCAAAGCCCAGCGCCAAGUCGCCGCCUUCAACUCCGCCUCCGCAAGCGGCUCUUCCGUUGCUUUCACAUACAAAACCCAUUGCCUCAUUCUCCACACCCUCACUCCUAGUAAUGAAGGACCGGCCUCCUUCCUCGUACAGCUCCAUCUACGUCCAUCCCCACCACCACCUCUGCUCUGUCAUCACCACCCCCAAUUAUACCUCCCUUGCAAUCGGCUCUAAGCUUCAUGAAACCAGACUGUUGCUGAUGGCAGAUGCUGCUACUCUCAACCGGAGGAGCAGCACAAGUGGUGCUCUGGAGUACAACUAGACUCAACAACAGCAAGCGCAGUUGCAUGUUCCGAAGCUUCAGCAACCUUCAGCUUAAGACGACGACAUUCCUGAAGAAGGCUCUAAUCGUGAAGCUGAGCUGUAGUAACAUUAGGUGAGAUUUUUAUAUGUGAAUUGUGAAAUUCGUGUGUUUACUAAAGUGUGAAUUGGUAAUUGGGUGUUUCAAGCUGGAGAAAGCUUCGAUCGAGAAGGACCUCCAGGCCACAUUGAGCAACGGUGAAGAGUUAGGUAACAAGGAGGCGUUCCUUCAACAGCACUCGCUGCAACCGGGCCACGGAUCAAGGCUUUUACAAGAUUACAGGGAAGAAGUGUGAGAUCAGGGCUGAAGAAUCCAAAGCUGUGAUUGGGAAGAAGAGGAUUCUGACCUUUUACGAAGGUCGUGUACCGAAAGCAAAGAAGACCGAUUGGGUAGUCCAUGAGUAUUAUCUCACAAAAAUUGAGGUGGGGUCUAGAUCCACCAAGCAGACGACGUCAAGGACAGGAAUGUCCAGUGCGUCUUCCUCGGCUGCUCCGACGUCGGAAAAGGAACCUACACCUCCCACCUCUGCCACUUCCUCGGCGUCCCUCACAUCGCCACCAGCGAUCUUGUCCACGACAAGCUGGCUGCCUCCGGCCCCUUCACUCUUUAGCUUGUGGAGGUUGUGAAUCCCGAUAAAUGUUAUGAACCCCACUUGCCUUGUCUUGCUGUCUGGUCUCAGAAGCUCUAGCCAAAACUGUAUUGAUUGGUUUCAAACAUAAUGAAUAGGGUAACACCACCGACAACGAAAAUGGUGAGAAUGUGCUCGAGUCGAAGGACCCCAUACUCAAGAAAUCAGAGGCGUAGUGAAAAAAAAAGAGAAAAGAAGAAAAAGAAACGAAAGCAAAAGCAGAAAGCAGAAAGAAAAGCAGAAAAAACCGAAAAAAAAAGCAGAAAGCAAAAUGGAGGCUUUCCUCUGCGAGAGCACAUGGGGACACUGCAAAAGCAAGGAAUAAACACCCCACCAUAAUGAUGUGAUUUACUUUUCUUGUUUUUGAAUAAUGUGAUUUAUUUUUCUUAUCUUUCAGAGACAUCUGUAUAACCCCAUCAGAGGGUAAUUAUAAAAAAAAAAAAAAACGGCAAGCCUAAAAUAAUGGGCUGAAAUGUUAUGUGGAGGGCGAAGGCCCAUCUGCCUAAAAGAGCCAGGCCUUCUAUUAUCACCAACUAGGUGAUCAAAAGUACGCCCAAUACUCCAAAAUUAUUCGGCACCCUGCUGCUAUUAUCACCAACCAGGUGAUCAAAAGUACGUCCAGUACUCCAAAAUUAUACAUGAGCAUCACUCAUGUCAAUCAUACAUAAACAUUCAUAAGCAUCACUCAUGUCAAUCAUACAUAAACAUUCAUGUCAACAUUCAUGAGCAUCACUCAUGUCAACAUCCAUGAGUAUCAUUCAUGUCAAUCAACAUAAACAUUCAUGAGCAUCACUCAUGUCAAUCAGCUUCAAAAGCUUCAUUUACAGAGCUUUAGCUUCGAGAGUUCCAGCUUUGAAUGCUUCAUUUACAGAGCUCUAGCUUCAAAGCUUCACUUGCAAAGCUUCACCUACAAAGCUUCAGUGCAGGGUAUACAAAUACCGCCUCCGAACAACCACCACUUUGGCCCAUACAUGGAUUCAAUCUGAAGUCUCCAGCCAACAUACCCUAUUGACUGAAGACUUGGGGGACUACAUUAUGUACCAUAUAUUGGGCCUCAACUGGGCCUCAUGAAAAAUACUUUGGGGACUCUAACCCAUUAUUCAUGUACUGAGUAGCGAGCCCUUAUUUUAUAAAAGGGACUCCCUCACCUUCAUUAGAGAGCAUCGCCGCUAGCUGAGCAACUGCCUUGCCGCGAGUAUCACUCAUAACCCAUCACUUAUGUAUUGAGGAGUGAGCCCUUAUUCUAUAAAAGGGAUUCCCUCACCAUCAUUAAAGAGCAUCGCCAUCUGCUGAGCAACCGUCUCGCCGCGAGCAUCAACUUUAGCCCAUCAUUUAUGUAUUCUAUAAAAUGGACUCCCUCACCUUCAACACCACAAGCCGAGCCAACCAAAGGCAACAUAAGCCACAAGCCGAGCAGCCUCGCAACAUGUGUUACUUCUUGUUGAGCAUCAUUUUACAUUGAGCACCGCCUCAUAUCGAGUAUUUAGUUCUAGACAACAUCUAGUUACUUCGGCCCACACAUGGACUGAAUUUCAAGUCUCCAGCCAAAAGACUCUCUUGACUGAAGACUUGGGGGACUACUAUUUGUACUAUACUUAGGGCCUCCGUAUUUAGAUCUCGUAUAAAUACUCGGGGGAGUCAAAUGUAAUUAUGUAAUAAAUGAAGGGGCAAAUAUGUAAAAAGAGGAGGAGCCUUUAGUCUAUAAAAGGGCCUCCUUACCCUCACAAUCCAAAAGCUCGGAGAUCUCUCACCAUCAGAAGCUAUGAUCCUCACAUACAGAAGCUCUAUCUCUUACACAAUCCUUUCACAAACAGGGAAAUAUCAGUGUGGACGUAGCCCAAACAUUGGGGUGAACCAUGAUACAUCUUGUGUUCUUUACUUUCUUGUAGAUUCACGGUUAGAUUUACGUUGUUCCAAGACCCCUCCGGUUUUAUGCAUCAACAAUUAGAAAAGAUGUGUGGUAGAAAUACAUAGUAUUUGGACGUGAUCAAGGAAUUUAUUCAAGUACGUGGAGUCUAGCUAUUGCGGUAGUGACGUGAAUCUUCGUUUUAGCUUUGGGAUCAAGGUAUUGGUGAGGAAUAUUGCUUGCUUGGCUUGGAGACCAGGUAGGGGGAUCCUCACUUACCGUAGUUAUGAAAUUUUGUGCAUGUAUGUAUAUGUAAAUAUACGAAUGCUUGUGAAAGCUGCAUAGAUUUUGUUGUGAAUCAUGAGGAAAAUGGUUUUAUUUUAUAUCAUGAUAUGCAUGUUGUUUUAUACUACAAAUUAAAGUGAUGACUUGAGAGUGAAUGGGGCAUAGUGACCGUCUUGGGUUUCGAUCCCUUAAACCUUCAGAAGGGCUACUACGAAGGGAUUAGUACCGCUACCUUUCUAGGAGAGGUACUUGGAUAUCGCUAAAGGUAGAGCAUUAAAGGACACUCUCGCUAUACCUUACCAUAAGUAUAUUCGUUCGGAGUUGGUCCAGGUAAAUGGGUAGUUGGUCAUUGGACCAGUCAUCAGGCAUGUAGUGAUUUAUAGGGAUCCCUGUUUUCUUUUUAAAAGGAAAUUGUGUGAGCAUACAAUCUAUUUUUGAAACUAAAGCUUUUGUUGUGCAUCAAACAUUUUUCUAUAGUAUAUAUAGUGUUGUAUACUACUUUCAAACCUAGCUGGGGUGAAUUCCCUGAGGGGGAACGAUGAACAUUUGUGAUGCUCACCCCUACUUUAUUACAUGACCAGUGCACCUACAAAUAGACGAUCUGGACUAAGGUCGGGACAAGUGUUGUUUGUUACUUGUCAACUUCUUAAUCGCUCAUUGACUUUCCACAGGUUUUUGUUUGUACAUAUGCUUGAUUCCCUCCGUCUUGAAGGAAUCUUUUGUAACUAAAUUUAGCACUUUGUACUCUCCAAAUCGUGCCUAAGAGUUGGUUAGUAUAUUUACUUAUUUUAAACUCUUUGGUUUUGUUGUAAGUUGUAAACUUCGUCUUUGAUGUAAAAAAUUAUCCAAAUUUUGUUGCCUUGUAUUAUUCGUUUUGCCAAAAUGAUUUUGCGCUUCCGUACUGCUUAAAAAUAAAUUAUUUUACUUCCCCUUAAAUAGCCUUACGUCCUAUUGGGAAUGUAGUGCUACAAUGUUGGAAUUUAACACUAUAGUAUUGCGUUACUAAUAGAGUGUGGCACUGUUACGUGCUCGUUUUUGGGGUGUGACACUAGGGGUGGUUCGGUAUGGGAUACCGAAUCGAAACCCUUGUUCCGAUUUCCAAACCGAAAUUUUCGGGAAUCCCAAUUUCAAUACCGAUCCCAAACCAAUUUUUCAGGAAUCCCGAUAGAGUUUCAGGAUUUCGGGACAAAUCGGGAAUCCCGAAAUGGUUUUGGGCUUUUAGACUAAAAUUUGACAUAUUAUGCUUUUGGGCUAAAAUUCAACCUUUUAUAUUGAAAAUUUGACAUAUAGUCAGGCUGCCAAUUUGGCAAUCUGUUGGACUAAAAGUUGAAAUACAAGUAUACAACCCAUCUGCCAAUCUGUGCAUAAUAGCAUAUGUGAUCUGCCUAUUCAAUUUCUACUACACAUGCAUGCAAUAAAAAUAAAUUAAGUAACAAAUCCAAAAGCAAAAAAAAAUUAGUUACAAGCCAAGGUUUUAAAAUAAAUAAAGUAACAAACCCAAAAGCAAAAAAAAUUAGUUACGAGCCAAAGUUUCAAAAUAAUGAAGUUACAAACCAAAAGCAAAAAAGCAAAAAAGCAAAAAAGAAAAAAAGCAAAGCUUAAAGUUUAUGAAGAUUGUUGGCCUCGUAUAUUGAUGGUUGAGCCCUUCCCCUUGAUGUUGAUGAUUAAACCAUUCCCCUUAAAAUGGGUGGUCAUGGAGGUAGUGAUUGAUUUUGACGUUGUUGAACUUCAACUUGAGGUGUAACAUUCCACAUUGCCCAGGGGAGUGGAUCAUAUAAGCCAUAUAUGUAUAUUCUCAUCUCUACCUAGCAUGAGGUCUUUUAGGAGUUCACUGGCUUCGAGUUUCGUAGGAACUCCGAAGUUAAGCGAGUUCGUGUGAGAGCAAUCCCAGGAAGGGUGACCCACUGGGAAGUUCUCAUAUGAGUUCCAAGAAACAAAACCGUGAGGGUGUGGUCAGGGCUCAAAGCAGACAAUAUCGUGCUACGGUGGAGUUGAGCCCGGGAUGUGAUGGAGGCCUAGGCCGAGAUGUGACAAUUUGGUAUCAGAGCCAAUUCAUGGCCGGAAGUCUGCCGACGAGGACGUCGAGCCCCUAAGGGGGGGUGGAUUGUAACAUCCCACAUCGCCCAGGGGAGUGGAUCCUGUAAGCCUUAUAUGUAUAUUCACAUCUCUACCUAGUACGAGGCUUUUUGGGAGCUCACUGGCUUUGGGUUCCGUAGAAACUCCAAAGUUAAGCGAGUUCGCGCGAGAGCAAUACCAGGAUGGGUGACCCACUGGGAAGUUCUCUUGUGAGUUCCUAGAAACAAAAUCGUGAAUGUGUGGUCGGGGUUCAAAGCAGAUAAUAUCGUGCUACGGUGGAUUCGAGCCCGGGAUGUGGUGGGGCCCGGGCUGGGAUUUGGCAUGAGGUGGUCGAGGAGAUGGAGGUGGAUGGGCAUUUCAUUUUCUUAGAAGAAUUUCAGAUUUUUUCAUAUCAAGAUUGUGGUAUUUAGGCAAGAAAUUGCUUUCAUUUCCUCCCUAUUAUCUAUAAAGAUGUAUGUUUGGUGCAAAGCUCUUGGUAGUUUGAAUUGAAGAUGUAGAUUCUAAUAACAGAGCCUGAAAUUAUUUUGUAGGUUGGUUAAGCUAAAAUUAUACUAUGAAAUCAAAUACUUAAACUUUUUUUUGUUACCUAUAUAAAGUUAUAUAAUAAUACACUUGAAACUUUC
rnacentral:lncRNA from 1 species